AGCGAACGCUGGCGGCAGGCCUAACACAUGCAAGUCGAACGGACCCUUCGGGGUUAGUGGCGGACGGGUGAGUAACACGUGGGAACGUGCCUUUAGGUUCGGAAUAGCUCCUGGAAACGGGUGGUAAUGCCGAAUGUGCCCUUCGGGGGAAAGAUUUAUCGCCUUUAGAGCGGCCCGCGUCUGAUUAGUUAGUUGGUGAGGUAAUGGCUCACCAAGGCGACGAUCAGUAGCUGGUCUGAGAGGACGAUCAGCCACACUGGGACUGAGACACGGCCCAGACUCCUACGGGAGGCAGCAGUGGGGAAUCUUGCGCAAUGGGCGAAAGCCUGACGCAGCAACGCCGCGUGGGGGAUGAAGGCUCUCGGGUUGUAAACCCCUUUCAGCAGGGACGAAUCAAGACGGUACCUGCAGAAGAAGCCCCGGCUAACUACGUGCCAGCAGCCGCCGUAAUAC
rnacentral:rRNA from 1 species